GUGCGCCUGUGUUAAUACCAUCUGAAUGAAAUGUAUCUAUCUGAUAAGAAAAAAAGAUAAAAAUUAUGUGAAUCUGGGUUAUUCUAGUUUUAUUAAUAAUACAGAGACCUCUUGAGAGUUUUACCCCAGUUGAAUGUUAGCUUAAAUUCUCAACUGGAAAAUCCAAAUGAAAUAUACCUUGAAUUAUCUCGACUAUUGAUCUAUUGGAGAAAGGAGUGCACUGGCUGACUUCUCUAAACUGUUCUGCA
rnacentral:misc_RNA from 1 species